rnacentral:rRNA from 4 species
UGCGACCCCAGGUCAGGCGGGACUACCCGCUGAGUUUAAGCAUAUC